CAGCUUAGGGAUACUCUUAGAAUUAGGUGUAUCUCUUCUAUGGUUCCUUAUUUGGUCUCUUAGUUUCUUAAGUAUCUUAAGUUUGCAGAUGCUGUGCCCUUCUCUGUGGCAUAAGUGGGUUAUCUAAACUAGCUUUAAGCCUAGAAGGGAAUUUCUUCAUUCAAAGUGCCACCACCUUUUCCAGUACAGGCUGUAUAAAGGGAAAAUAAAAUCAUGUUGGAAACUGUAGUUCUCCACACAUGAUGGACAUACUAGGGCAGUAGUUUAAAAAAUCAUUUAGCAUCUAGUUGCUGGUAGACCACGACUAACUACUAAUUGGUCCCUUUAGAUGCUCUGCCAGCUUAUUUUUCACUCCAGCUCUUACUCCUUUUCUUUUUUUUCUUUUUUUUUUUUUUUUUCUAAAUCCAACAAUCUAAAAAUCUUGUGAUAAGGCUUUUGCUAAUUUACAUAGCAGGGGUUGCUAUAGCAACCUGGCAGAACAUUUCCAGCGGCAACAUAGUAGAGGUAACCUUUAUCUUUAUGAGAGAAAUACGCUUUAAAGGUUUGUGAUAGUCCUAUAUAUGUUGUUUUUUUUUCUUUUUUUCUUUUUUUUUUCCUGAAUAUGUUUAAUCAUGCAGUGAAGUCAAAAUAUUUCAACUUUGAUAUCACAGUCCUCACCUCAGUGAGUGUUGUUGUCAUAAACACAUAUUAUGACCUCAUUGCAUAUCAAAGCAUGUAGAAACAGCAAACUGCAGAGUUCAAAGCUGUAAGACAUGCUGCUGUGUUGGACAUACACAGCUGAGGCUUUAGGACAUCAUCAAAAUGGUAUUCCUAGGGCUGCCUGCAGCACCCAGGUUCUUUGAGAAUUCACUAUCACUUCUGUACAUGCUCAGUCCUGAAUGUCAGCCUGUGACCGCAUGGCCAGCUGCCCCCCAGCUUUGGACUGCACAGACCAAAGGGUUUGAGAAAAGUGUGGCCAAAAGAAUCCAAGAAGUUUAUGUUCUGAUGGUUUUACAUUUAAGUACUAACAUGUCUCUGCAUUCAUCGAUUCCAGGACGUUGUUGCUAAUUUUGCAGGAUGUAACAAAUAUGAAGAUCAAUAAACAAGAAGCUAAUGCAUUCCA
rnacentral:lncRNA from 1 species